rnacentral:lncRNA from 1 species
GGAAAUUCAAGAUGUACCAGCUUCAGACAGAGGCUCUACAACCAGUCAGGAAACAGUCAGCCAGACUCAACUCUGGAUGAAUCAUAUGCUGCCCAACUGCGCAAUAGGUGCCCAAGAUCCGGCGGUGACCAGAACCUAUUCUCCUUGGACUUCGUUUCCCCAACAAAAUUUGAUAACAGCUACUUCAAGAACUUGUUGGCUUCAAAGGGACUGCUGAACUCUGACCAAGUUCUUGCUACUAAGAGUCAAGCAUCACUAGCCUUGGUGAAACGAUAUGCAGAGAACAAUGCCCUUUUCUUCGAGCAAUUCGCCAAAUCUAUGGUUAAGAUGGGAAACAUUUCUCCUUCGACAGGUUCCAGGGGAGAGAUCAGGAAGAAUUGCAGGAGGAUCAACUCAUCUUAAAAGAGCAAAUCAAAUUUCCUUCGCAGAACUGGAAACUAAUUAUUUCACCUUUAUUGUUAUUUUGUUAUGUUUCUUUCUGUUGCUCUUUUUACAUUCUUCUGUUUCUUCAGUUUUUGUUCUUGAGGAUCUCAUUGCUUGUUCCAUCUGUUGUUUAUCAUGAAUCUAUACCAUUCCUGGAUCUUACUUUCAGCAGCUUGCACCUUAUCUUAACACUGGACAAAGUGAAACCAAAAGAAAGAAGCUACAGAUAUUUAAUACUAAGCCAGUAGGCAAACAUAAAUUGGUAUGGAGAUGAGGUCACAAGAAUACUACCAUAACACAGGGAACAUGUAUACUAAUAAUCUAAUACCUUGACGCUAAACUUAAAUGGAUGACAUGUACUUGGUUACUUUUUGACAAAUACAUAUGUCAAUCAACUCAAUUCGUAGUUGAAAAGAAAAGGACGCUAAUUAGAAGGUGUAGUAAUACUCUUCUUCGGAGGAAAAUCGUGCAAGUUUGACUAAAACGGACAAUAUUAUACGAUGUUACGAAUACAUUGGGUCAUUUUACCAUAACACUUCUUAACAGAUUUCUGUUGUUCUUUCUUUUGAAACAAAUUAGUGAAGAAUAGUUUGAGACUUGAGUUGCAACUGGAAUGCAUAAACCACGUCCUCUGUGUAAACAGUAGUGGUAUCUUUUCCUAAGAAAGUAUACAAGAUUUGUAAUAGUAAUUCCUUAGUACGUACUGUAUUACAUUUUAUCAAAUAACAAAAUGCCAGAAAGGGUAUUUGAGAACUUCAUGUUAAAGAAUUUAAAUUAUUAAAGAGUAUUAGAUUGAGACUAGUCUAAAUGGAGUGACAUGAUAGAGUCAUAGAGAUGAUUAAUCCAUGUGUGGCCAACCUCAACAAGCUUAGCAUUAUUGUUGUAGUUGUGAAACGCCAUUUGAUCUUUACCAUAAUCUUAAAGAGUUAAUAUCUCAAAUGUUCACUCUAUCAACUUUUAUUUCAGAAAAUCACUUAAUUUUAUCUUUAUUCCAAAAGUCACUCAAUUUUGAUCUUUUAUUCUACAAAUUCACUCAAUUUUAAUUUUACUUCAAAAGUCACUUAAAUAUCACUCAAUCUAUUUAAUUAUUUUUGUAAAACAAAAUUGCUUAUGUGACAUUUUUAUUUAAAAAUAAAAUUUUAAAAAAUAAAAAAUAUUUUUUUAAUGACCAUUUUACUUAUUCUCCUAAUUUAAUAUCUUUCCCUCCCCUUUCUCAUUUUUCUUCUUUUCACUUCUUCCCAUUAUUUUUUGGAUAAAUCACACAUUAUAAUCUAAAAAUUGAUAAUUAAAAUUGUACGAAAUUAAAUUACUACUAUAUUUUUAUAUUUGUAUUUUAUUUUUAUUUUGUCUUUAAAAAGAAAAAAAAAGGAAAAAACAAUAAAGAUGAACAAACGAAGAUAAAAUAAAAUAAACUAAAAUAUCCUGCACUUCCCUUUUUCUCCUUUUUAGAUACUUUAUACAUUUAUUUUAUUUCUCUUCUUUUGCCUCUUUAUUUUUUUUCAUUUUUAAUACAAAUAUAAAAUAUGGUAGUAAUUAGAUUUCGUACAAUUUUAAUGUCAAUUCCUAGAUUAUAAUGUGUGAUUUAUGGAAAAAAUUAUGGGAAGAAAGUGAAAAGAAGAAGAAAAAUGAGAAAGGAGAGGGAGACAUAUUAAUUUAGGAAAAUAUAGAUAAAACGGUCAUUAAAGAGAUAUUUUUUAUUUUUUAAAAUUUUAUUUUUAAAUAAAAUUUUCACAUAAGCAAUUUUUUUUUUUAAAUAAUUAAAUAGGUUGAGUGACUUUCUAAGUAAAAAUGUGAUGGUUAAGUGACUUUUGAAGUAAAGAUGAAAGUUGAGUGACUUUCUGAGAUAAAAGUCCAUAGUUGAGUGACUUUUUUAAGGUAACGACCAAAGUUGGGUGUUUUCUGAGAUAAAAGUUCAUAGUUGAGUGACCAUUUCGGAUAUUAACUCCAAUCUUAAUUACUUAAUUGGUGCAAUAUAAUAUGGAGAUUAGCAGUCCAGUUUUGGAGCUCAGAUCAUUGAUGCCUCUGAGUCCGAACCUAAAGAUUGACAUGCGGAGCUACACUUAAUUUAGGGGUUAACCCGAAUCCCCUUUGACCGAAAAUUAUACUAUAUAUACAUGGUUAAAAAUUUUUUUUUAUGCAUAUAUAGUAAAUGUCUCGAACCCCCUUCGAUUAGUUCGUAUGUUCACUUGUGAACCCCCUUGGUGAAAAUUCUGGCUCUGCCAAUAUGUCUCCCCUUGUUAAGUUGGAAAUAUAUCAGCGUGAUGCACGCGAGAAAAGAAGACGCUAAGAUCAAAUUUCUGCGCAUCUUCUUACUACGGAACAACGUAACUCCAAAGUAGAUAGACUUGCAAAUUUUUACAUAACUGCGUAUAUAACUUAAUGGUGAUCCCAAAAUGGGGUAUGUCUGCACUUCAGGCACCUGCAAAUAUUUGAUGAAGUACAUAAGUUCGUUGGGAUGAGAUGAGAUACAUUUGAGAUAGCCAAUCAUCCUUAACCACAUUAAUUUUUUCACCACAUGCGUCUUAAAACAGUUGUUUCUAAGCAUUAAAUCCUAUUCUGUUCAAGUUUGAAAAUAGUAGCAGAGCAGUUUUCCUAACCCUUCUUACCUUAAUACUAUAUUUUUAUUCAUACAUUGGACCAAAAUUCGAUUCACCUAAUAGUCACAUUCACUUAUAUCCAUUUGUAUGUCAGCUUAGCUUGCUGUGCUUAAGUAACGGAUGAGAACAUAUAUACAACAAAUUAUACAACUACUACAUUUUGGGUUUUUUUGACAUAAUAAUUUUUUCUUAGUCUUGUUUAGCCUAUACGUUUAAGACUUUCAUCUUUGAUACAUUUUAAAAAAACUUUCCUAAUACUUAGUGGGAAAAGCUGAAUAUUUCCACAGAGCAAGUGUUAUUUAAAUUACCUAUAUUAUAGAUCUUAGAUUACUGCAAAUUGGGUGUUGCUAUCAUCUUGCAUGGGUUAUUAAGGAGUUGAAAAAUUCAAUACUUUUACUAAAACUAAAAAGAGGAUUAGAAAAAGAAAAAACUUGAGAUACAUGCAGGUCCAAUAAUCUGGAACAAUCAAAGACAAAUAAUAUUGAGAUCCUCUUUUGUCAAGAAAGCAGGUAGCUUCUGUGUAUUAUAUAAACACUUUAGUUACUUUAUAUUUCAUGCCUUGAGCAAUAUAAUAGGUUAGGGGAGGACUAUUGGCCGAUUUAAACAUAUUAUUUUCAAAUCGAUUGACAAAUAGAUGAACUUUGACAAAUCUCUCCCAAGAAUUAUUUAUUUAAGAAACCUAGAUUCUUUUCACUUCUAUUUCCUUUUGAUUUGUUCUCCAGAUUGUUGGUUUUUUUUAAAAGAAGACGGGGUAGGGAAAAGGGGUUUAAAAUGGCUCUCAAUGAAUUGAAUAACUUUCAAUAGAUUUGAAUAGUAUUCAAUGAUUUUAUUGAACAUCAAGGUGCUUUAAAUAGCCACCUUAUAAUAGAAAAAUCAGCAACAUUUAAAAUCUAAACUAACUAAAAUGUCUUAACAAAUCAAACAACCUAACUUAAAUUCAAAAUUCAAAUUCAUCCUAAAUUAAUUUUGCUAAAAACUAGUGCAGUAACUUAAGCAAUUUCCAGCACAGAUGUGGACCUCAUCAACUCCAACUUUACAAAGGCUCGAAAAUAACUAAGUCAAGAAGUAGUUAGUAGUAAUUACGAUAAAAGUCGUAAUCAAACUCUCUAUAUUACAUAACAAAUGGGUUAAUGUUGAACAUUUCACGUAGGCGGUGGUGAAAGUCUUCUGUCUAUCAAAUUAAAAUCAUGAAGAAUUUGUAGUUAUCCCAACUAAAAAGUUAGUUACCAACUCCAUUUAUUUAGUUGACCAUUGUAACACGUCUUUCACUGGACACAUGCACUAUAUAAACUCGUGAGCUCCAUCUCAAUUAUUUCAUCACAGCAAGCACUAGCGUUCCUCAAGAUUCAAAUUAAGUUUUUUCUACACCAACGUGCUUAGAACUUCGACAUGUCUCGGUCCAUGAGCUUCUUCAUUUUCAUAGCUCUCCUCGUCUUUGCACCAAUUUGUUUCUCUUUUAAGAGUAACAAUGGUGGCCUAUACCCCCAAUAUUAUCAUAAAUCAUGCCCAAGAGCACAAGAAAUUGUCAAGUCUGUAGUUGCCAAGGCUGUUGCCAAAGAAUCUCGAAUGGCUGCUUCUCUGCUGAGGCUCCAAUUCCACGACUGUUUUGUCCAGGUAAAGCAUAUUUUUCCAAGACAAAAAUAUUUAAGACAAGUAGAAAAACUCUUGAAUCUGUUUUCGAUUCCUCCUAGAAAUGAAUAUGUAAUAAAAAAUUGUGCCAUGAGUCAUGACAAUAUCGACACAUCAAAAGUAGAAAGUGCAAUAGCAUACUAGCAUGCAAGAAUACACGAAUUGCUAGAACUUAUCUUUGCACUGAGAGUAUAUACUAAAUAAAGCUUCUUCUUUUUUUAUUUUGGCUUUUAAGGCUUUGAACUUCUUAGUUAUAGCUCGUCCGAAAGUGUUUGUGCUGACGAAGGUGUGAAAACUGAUGGCUAGCUAUUGCAUGUCAUGUAGGGAUGUGAUGCAUCUUUGCUUCUGGAUAAUAGCAGAGGUAUAGUGUCAGAAAAAGGAUCAAAUGCCAACAGGAAUUCAGCUCGUGGAUUUGAUGUCAUUGAUGACAUUAAAUCUGCACUGGAGAAGGAAUGCCCUCAAACCGUCUCUUGUGCUGAUAUCUUGGCGCUUGCUGCAAGGGACUCCACUGUUCUGGUAAGUACUGAAACAUAUAUAGUUUGAUCAGACUACCUGUUUAUGAAUUAAAAAAACACGAGCUUACUUUUUUCGUUCAUACAGUCCGGUGGACCAACCUGGGAGGUUCCAUUGGGAAGAAGGGACUCCAGAAGCGCCAGUUUAAGUAGCUCCAACAACAAUAUUCCUGCUCCAAACAACACAUUCGAUGCCAUUCUCUCAAGGUUCAAGAGACAAGGACUUGAUGUUGUUGACCUUGUAGCUUUGUCUGGUAAAUGUUACUCUCUUUGUUUUUUGCUUGCUUAAGUUUAGCUGGAUAGUUAUCUCACGCGAAAUCAUAGUUAACACUUAUAAACUGAAAUGCAGGAAGUCACACAAUUGGAAAUUCAAGAUGUACCAGCUUCAGACAAAGGCUCUACAACCAGUCAGGAAAUAAUAAGCCAGACUCAACUCUGGAUGAAUCAUAUGCUGCCCAACUGCGCAAUAGGUGCCCAAGAUCCGGCGGUGACCAGAACCUAUUCUCCUUGGACUUCGUUUCCCCAACAAAAUUUGAUAACAGCUACUUCAAGAACUUGUUGGCUUCAAAGGGACUGCUGAACUCUGACCAAGUUCUUGCUACUAAGAGUCAAGCAUCACUAGCCUUGGUGAAACAAUAUGCAGAGAACAAUGCCCUUUUCUUCGACCACUUCGUCAAGUCUAUGGUUAAAAUGGGGAAUAUCUCUCCUUUGACAGGUUCCAGUGGGGAAAUCAGGAAGAAUUGCAGGAAGAUCAACUCAUCUUAAAAAAGCACAUCAACUUUUACUUGAUACGGAGUUAAUAACUGUCCCUUUAUUGUUGUUUAUGUAAUGUAUCUUUCUGUUAUAGUUCUUUUUACAUUCUUCAGUUUUCGUCCUUGAGGAUCUCAUUGCUUGUACCGUCUGUUUGAUUGUUUAUCAUGAAUCUUUACCAUUCAUGGAUCUUUAUUUUAUCAGCUAUUGCACUUCAUUUUAACACUGGACACAUGACAAACUGAACUGGAACCAAGAAAAGAAGAUGCUGAUAUUUUUACCAGAUCAGUAGACAAACAUAAAUUGGUAUAUAAACGACGCCAAAACGAUACUAAUAUAACAGGGGGGCUAUAGAUAGUACUAAUAAUAUAAUACCUUCAAUGACCAAAUUAGAGAAAAUAAUAUUGAUUUGAGAGAAAACAUUCUCUCUGGUAAUUUUCAACUAAUCAUAUGAUAUGAUCUAAUUCUAAGUAGUUGAGAGUAGACGGAUUUCAUUAAUAUUGUGUGAAUAACCUUUGUGUAUUCCUUAUUUGAGUACACAAAGUCCAAAUCAAUAGAGUACUAGAACAACAUUAGUUAUGUUAAUAAUUAAUGAGCAUUGACUAUAAACAUACAUAUUUAAUCAUCUUACUGUACUUAAUAAUAUAACAAAGACCACCUCAAUUUUCCUGUUUUUCAGUUUAAUCCAAUUUUAAUUAGUUGUAUGACACUCUAAACUCUAUUUCUCUUAUGUUUAAAAAUAGGUUAAUGCUUCUUGACUAAAUGCUCAAGGUAUAAAACUUGUGUUGCAAAUACAAGAGGUAGAUUAUAAAUAAAUAAAUAAAUAAACAUUACAAGUCUAUUUUGUUAAAAAUUGUUUGUUUUUAUUGUCGAACUAGACACUGCAGUUCCACUUAAUAUCCACCUUCAUUUAGGUAGCCAACAUAAGAAGAUAAGAAGAGUGAAGUUGAUAUAAAAUUAAGGCAGAAUAUAUCGAAAGAUCCCGUAAGUACACAUUUACUUUCACUUAGGUAUUUCAAGUGGACGUCGCUCACUUUUGGCACCUCAAGUAGCCAUAAGUGUGUCAUUUUAGCACCUUUUGAUGAUUCAGCAAAGUGAGUGCAUCAUACUCGUUUUUGGGCGCGUGGCAGCGCAAUUUUAGCUCAUUUUUCAUUUAAUUUAAUCACUUUUUUUCCUAUUUUUUCAUCCUACAUCUUCCAACCUCCAUUAAUGGAGUAUCCUACAUCUUUCAACCUCCAUUAAUUUUCUUUUGUCGAUUAACUUUCUAAUUCAACACAGGCCUCUUCUCCUCCAUAUUUUUUAAUCAUAUAUCUGAAAUUCGAGAAGCUAUUAAUGUGGAUUGAAAAUAAACCAGAUUCGGUAAAUGGUAAUCAAUACAUCUCGCUUGGUUCAAUCAAACAUGUUAUGUUGGAAGUGUGUUGGGGCCUUUUUUUGUUAAAUUAAAACAUGUUCCUUUUUAUUGUAAUGUUGGUGAAAAUUUUUCUUGUGAUGCUUACAUUUCUGAUUCAAUGAUUGUUGAUUCUUAUGAUUAAUGAAAUUGUGAUACCUUCCCAGUGCAUUUCUGAAAAUUGCUUUAUCUUUGCGUGUUUAAUGCACGGAAGUGCUUUUGAACGACUGUGUUCUUUCCAUUUUCCAUAAAGAGGUUGCAACCUCCAUUGAUGGAAAGCUUGAAGAAUAUUGGUUGGGUCAAUAAGAUGAAGUUUUGUAAUUAUUUGGUCAAAAGCCACUAGUCAUUAAUUCAUUGGACACCUUAUAAUGUAUUUUAUUUCCUUUUAAAAAAAAAUUGUGGAUGCAUAUAAUGACGUGGCAAUUUAAAAUGAGUUGACACAAAUUAAUUGGCCAUUUAAUCCAUGUUGGACGCGCGUGUAAUUCACGCACUAGAGUUAGUGCUGUCACUUUAUAACUACUUGAGAUAUUAAAAGUGAGCGACGUCCACUUAAGGUACCUAAGUGAAAAAUGAUACAUACUUAAAGAUCUGCCGAUGUAUUCUGCGUAAAAUUAAAGGAGAGUACUUCAGUACCCAUGACAAACAAUUCAGAUAUUUAGACUCUAUGCCAAAGUGAUUGUAAUAAAUGAAAAUGUAAUCAUAUAAUCAAAAUAGGACCUAUGUGAAAUGAAAAGAUGUUAAUAUAGGGCGUUGUGUGGUGGGGAAUACUUAACAGUUACCCCUUUUAAGAGAGAGACAUUUCCAAUUUGGAACAGUUUGUUAUAAGAUUGACCAUUUUUUUUGUUCCCAUCCGAUGUUUGGUAUCUGUAUUGGAGCCCGACUAAUCCGAAUUCGCGUCGGGUAGGGCCCAUUCGGGGGGUAGCGCUCCCAACGGAGUUUUCACCAUGCCCAGGAUUGAACCCUCGACCUCUGGUUAAUGGUGGAACAGCCCCAUCCGCUGCACCACAACCCAUCUUGGAAAGAUUGACCAUGUUAUAUUGGUGUAAAUGUUAGUUGGUCAGUAUCAUACCUAUACUAUGAGUAUUGUGGAAAUAUGAAUGUCAAGAUGAAUAUGAAAUUAUAUGAAAAAGAGAAGAUGCAAGUUGUACAUAUACGUGUAAAAUAAGAGAAUGGCGUUAGCGAUAAUUUGGUUAUGCCUUACAUUAAUUGACCUCUAGAUACACCGGUAUGGAAGUGUAUUGAAGGUGCUAAACUUAAAUGAGAUGAAAUAUACGUAGAAUUAUAUCGAAAGAAAGAAGUUAUCUCGACAGACCUAUUAUUACAUAAUUUCAUUUAAACUUAAAAUAAUUUUGUUAACUCAUUAAUAGAGAUUUGUAUGCCCGUGGAGAACUUCUAAUUUUUAGAGCAUUUAGAUUAUUAAUUAUCGAAACGGAUCUACAUGGAGCAACAUGAAUAGAGAGGAUAUGGGAUUCAUAUCUGACCAGUAAUAUAAUCCUCGACCACAUAAUUAAUUCGUUAGUUGUCCUCCUGUGACUAAAGCAGUUUCUUAUAAAGCAUACAUAAAUCCUAUUUUGUCCAUGUUUGAAAAUAGUAGCAGAGCAGUUGUCCUAAUUCAUUUGACCUUAAAUACAUUUUUCUCAUUCAUUAAUUGGACCCAAAUUGGAUUCACCUAAUAUUCGCCUAUCCAUUUUAGGUCUGCUUAGCUUGCUGUGCUUAAGCAACGUAUGAGAACAGACAUACACAAAAAUGUUCCGUUCAAUUUUACUUGUCACGUUGUCUUAUGAGAGUCCGUUUGACUAAUCUUCGAAGGUAAAUUGCAGUAGAUUAUUUAAUAUUUUAAAUUUAGAAUUUAUAUGUUCUAAAAUUAUACAAAAAAUACUAUAAGUUGUAAUCAUUUUCAUAUUAAUAUAACAAGAAAAUUCAUCUUAAAAUGUUGAUCAAAAUCCAUAAAACUUGACUCACGAGAAAUAAAACGUGACAAGUGAACAAAUAAAAGUAAAUGAAGGGAAUACAACUAGCAUUUAGUCUUGUUUGACAUAAUAAUUUUUUCUUAUAUAAUGAAGAUUUCCAACUUUGACACGUUUUAUAAGCUUAUUCUCUCGCAAUAGUUAGGGGGAAAGUGCAAUAUUAAUUUCAUAGAGAAAGGUUAUUUCAAAUAAAAUUAUAAAUCAUAGGUUAUUGUAAAUUUUGUAUACUCGUUUACUUACAUGAGUUAUGAAUGAAUUGAAAAGUUCUAAAAUUGAAAUUAAGAGGAUAAAAAUAAAGAAAAAGCUUGAGAUACAUUGAUACAAUUGUCCAAUAACAUGGAGUAAUUAAUUAAAGACAAAUAAUGUUGAGGUCCUCUAUUGCAAGAAAGCAGGUGCAACUUCUGGGUAUUAUAUAUAUAUCAUGCCUUAGAGCAAUCAAGGGCGUGUGGAGCUGACCAGAUCAAGUCAUUCUCUCAUGCUUAAUUUUUUAAUAUUUUCAUUAAAGAUUUUCUCAUACAGUAUAUGAUAGCUAAGUACGCCACAAUUUAUUAAGUCUAAUAUUGGUUAGGGGAGGACUAUUGGCUGAUUUAUGCAUAUUUUUUUUUUAAAUGGAUUGACAAAUCGAUAACUUUGACAAUUUUCUCCCAAGAUAUAUUUGUUUUAAGUCUUCUUGAUUCUUUUCACUUCUAUUUCCUUUUGAUUUGUUAUUCAGAAGUGGACCUCAUCAACUUUAUAAAAGGUCCUAAAAUAGCUUAGUCAACAAGUAGUUAGUAAUAAUUAGUAAUUAGUAAGAUAAAGAGUCUUAAUCAAUCUCCUGUCCUGUAUAACAAAUGUGUUAAAGUUGGAAAAUUCACGUAUCUUGUGAAAGUCUUUGUCUGUUAUGGACCAAAUCAAUCAUCAUUCACUUGAAGAUCACAAGCCUUCUUUAUCUUGGCAAAUUAAAAUCAUGCAUAGUUGUAUUUUAUCCUAACUAAAAAGCUACCAACUCCAUUUAUUUACAAGUGCAUUGUAACACUUCUUUCACUGGACACACUAUAUAUACACGUGAACUUUGUCUCAAUUUCAUCACAGCAAAAACUAACCUUCCUCACUAGUCACAUUAAAUAACUUCUAAGCAAAGUCUUUAGGAACUUAAUUUACUUCAAGAUGGCUCAGCCCGUGAGCUUGUUCAUUUUCAUUGCUCUGCUUGCUUUUGCACCAAUUUGCUUCUCUUUUAAGAGUAAUGACGGUAACCUAUACCCGCAAUAUUAUUGCAAAUCGUGCCCAAGAGCGCAGGAAAUUGUCAAGUCUGUUGUUGCCAAGGCUGUCGCCAAAGAAGCCCGAAUGGCUGCUUCGCUGUUGAGGCUCCAUUUCCACGACUGUUUUGUCAUGGUAAAACAUAAUAUACUUCUUGUUACUAAAUAUUUAUGACACUAAGCAUGAUAACUGUGAGUCCAUUGUGUUAAAUGUACAACAACGAUAUACCCAAUGUGGUUCCACAAGUAGGAUACCUUGUUAAAUGUAAGGAGAGCCCGGCACACUAAAGCUCCCGCUAUGCCGGAGGGGAUUCAAGGGAAUGCCACCCUGUUAAAUGUAUAUGUAAUAAUAAUUUGUUCCGUAAGUUAUGACAAUGUCUACAUGAUAGAAGGUAAUUACAAGUUGGAAACACUCUUGAACAAUGAACAGAAACUCAGGAAGUGCACUAGCCUGCAAGAAUACCUUACUAAAACUUAUCUUUGCUCUGAGAGUAUAUACUAAAUAAAGCCUUUUUUUUUCUUUUGGCUUUUGAGGCUUUGAACUUCUUAAUUAUAGCUUAUCAGGAAGAGUGUGCUGAUAAAGAUGUGAAAACUGAUGGCUAGCUAUUUUGUCACGUCAUGUAGGGAUGUGAUGCAUCUUUGCUUCUGGAUAGUAGCAAAGGUAUUGUGACAGAAAAAGGAUCAAAUCCCAACAGAAAUUCAGCUCGUGGAUUUGAAGUCCUUGACGAGAUUAAAUCUGCACUGGAGAAGGAAUGUCCUCAAACAGUUUCUUGCGCUGAUAUCUUGGCACUAGCUGCAAGAGACUCUACUGUAUUGGUAAGUGGAACCAAACAGACUACCACUUUAGGAAAUGAAAAACAUACAUCUUAAUUUUUUUCGUUUAUACAGGCUGGUGGACCGAGCUGGGAGGUUCCAUUGGGAAGGAGAGACUCCAGAAGCGCCAGUUUAAGUGGCUCCAACAACGAUAUUCCUGCUCCAAAUGACACAUUUGAUUCCAUUCUCUCAAAGUUCAAGAGACAAGGACUUGAUCUUGUCGACCUUGUAGCUUUGUCUGGUAAAUGUUACUCUUUUUCUUUCUUGAUAGCUAGACUAUUUAUCUGAUGCGGAAUAAUAGUUACUACUGAUAAAUUAUAAUACAGGUAGCCACACAAUUGGAAAUUCAAGGUGUACCAGCUUCAGACAAAGGCUCUACAACCAGUCAGGAAACAAUAAACCAGACUCAACUCUGGAUGAAUCAUAUGCUGCCCAACUGCGCAAUAGGUGCCCAAAAUCUGGUGGUGACCAAAACUUAUUCUUCUUGGACUUUACCUCUCCCACAAAAUUUGACAACAGCUACUUCAAGCUCUUGUUGGCUUCAAAGGGCCUGAGCCCUGGUGAAGCAAUAUGCAGAGGACAAUGCCCUUUUCUUCGAGCACUUCGCCAAGUCUAUGGUUAAGAUGGGUAACAUUUCUCCUUUGAUAGGUUCCAAUGGGGAAAUCAGGAAGAACUGCAGGAAGAUCAACUAACUUUUGU